AUCCAGCGGACGAGUCCCAAAUAGGAUGAAAUCCACGUAAUCCUGGAU
rnacentral:hammerhead_ribozyme from 1 species